rnacentral:sRNA from 1 species
CUCACAGAGCCCCCGAAGCUGCUCCCCCAGAUUGAUAUUGUGAACAUCAGCGACAGCUUUGAGAUGACCUAUAGAUCCUAGUGCAGUGAUUCUCAGCUGGGAGUGAUUUUGCCCCUUUCCCUUCCUGGGGGACAUGUGGUAAUGUCUGGAGACACUUUUAAGUGUCACAACUCAGGACUGGAGAACUACUAUUGACAUUUAGGUAAAAGCAAUGGAUGUGCUAACCAUCCUGUAAUGCACAGAACAAACCCCUACAACAAAUAAUUAUCUGGGCUAAAAUGUCAAUAAUGCUGAGGUUAAGAAACCUCAUUCUAUUUUUUGUACUCAUUAACUAUCCCCCUCAAAACAUCUCAUGUACCCCAUAAAUAUAUAUACCUACUAUGUACCACAAAAUUAAAAAUAAAAAAGAGUAUAAAAUU